rnacentral:rRNA from 1 species
UACGGAGGGUCCAAGCGUUGUCCGGAUUUAUUGGGUUUAAAGGGUACGUAGGCGGGACUUUAAGUCAGUGGUGAAAGCCUCCAGCUUAACUGGAGAAUUGCCAUUGAAACUGAAGUUCUUGAGUCAUUUGGAAGUAGAUAGAAUGUGUAGUGUAGCGGUGAAAUGCAUAGAUAUUACACAGAAUACCGAUUGCGAAGGCAGCCACCUGGGUCAACACUGACGCUCAUGUACGAAAGCGUGGGGAGCAAACGGG